GGCGAACGCUGGCGGCGUGCCUAACACAUGCAAGUCGAGCGAGUGAAUCUCCUUCGGGAGUGAAGCUAGCGGCGGACGGGUGAGUAACACGUGGGCAACCUGCCUCAUAGAGGGGAAUAGCCUUCCGAAAGGAAGAUUAAUACCGCAUAAGAUUGUAGCUUCGCAUGAAGUAGCAAUUAAAGGAGCAAUCCGCUAUGAGAUGGGCCCGCGGCGCAUUAGCUAGUUGGUGAGGUAACGGCUCACCAAGGCGACGAUGCGUAGCCGACCUGAGAGGGUGAUCGGCCACAGUGGGACUGAGACACGGCCCAGACUCCUACGGGAGGCAGCAGUGGGGAAUAUUGCACAAUGGGGGAAACCCUGAUGCAGCAACGCCGCGUGAGUGAUGACGGCCUUCGGGUUGUAAAGCUCUGUCUUCAGGGACGAUAAUGACGGUACCUGAGGAGGAAGCCACGGCUAACUACGUGCCAGCAGCCGCCGUAAUAC
rnacentral:rRNA from 1 species